UACGGAGGGGGCAAGCGUUGUUCGGAAUUACUGGGCGUAAAGGGCACGUAGGCGGCCCGCUAAGUCAGACGUGAAAUCCCAGGGCUCAACCCUGGAACUGCCUUUGAUACUGUCGAUCUGGAGUAUGGAAGAGGUGAGUGGAAUUCCGAGUGUAGAGGUGAAAUUCGUAGAUAUUCGGAGGAACACCAGUGGCGAAGGCGGCUCACUGGUCCAUUACUGACGCUGAGGUGCGAAAGCGUGGGGAGCAAACAGG
rnacentral:rRNA from 1 species